GGAAAACUAAAAAGAGAACUUCCAGAUCUUGAUUCUGAGAUCAACCUUACACUGGGAGUCGAUGACGGAAGCAACAGCCGGCGACUUGCCGGCGGGGACGGUGCCCCUGAUCCCAUCGCAGGUGACUCUGAUGCCAACCUUCUUGCUCUUGAGCCACUCCAUUCUCAUCUUCACCUUGGUGUCCAUCUGAAUCACCACCGGGAACCCUUUCUUCUUCUUCAGCGCCGAUCUCAUCGUGCUCAGCGACUCCGUGUCCAGAUCCUGCGACCCCGACACCACCGCCCUCAAGCUCGUCUGGUUGUUCUUGUCGGACUCAAACGCUGUUAGCGACCCGUUCCCAAUGAAAACGGAAUCUGACAGCGCCGUCACGGUGAACGGAUCGUAGAAGAACACAAGGUGGUUGUUAGGGUUCUUUGCGAUGAGAGUGAGGUUGAAGAGUGUGGUCAGGUGUGACGGCGAGUCAGUGGAGGUUGUUAGGUUCAUCCUCGCAAUGCGGAGGUUGGUGAUGGAGAAUUGCGGCUGGUGUGGCCGGUAAAGAACGUAGAGUGCGGCGCCUACGAUUGCGGCGAGGAGUGCGGCGGCGAGGAUGAUGAGGAUGGUCCAGAAGCAGCAGCAGCAGCAGAUGCUGCGACCGGAGCGGUGCCGGCGGUGGUAGUGCGACUGUGGGCGAUAGACUUGGCGGUUGGGGUUGUAGAGCUGGGAUUUGACUGGGCCUUGGUUGCCGUUAACCGCGGGGGCUGCGGCGGUUCCGUUAAUUGCGCCGUUUCCGUUGGGUUUGGAAGCUGGUUCCGUCAUUCUUUGACCGAGGGAGAAUGUGAGUGAGAGAGAUGAAGGAGUUGUGAGUUGUAAUGGGGUUUGAGAAGAGAAGCAAGCUUUGUAGAGAGAAGGAAUGGAAUGGAAGGGAAGGAGAAGAAGAGUGAAGAGGUGGAGAUAGGUACCCAGAACCAAAAGAGGAUGCUUCCACCUCACCAAUUAUGGAAUCUUUUUCCCUUUUUUUAUUCUCUCUUGUUUAUACUUAACGAAAUUACGAGAAGCGAAUGGUUUAGAGAAUAUUAGAGAUAUAAUUAUUAGUGUUAUUUUUUUUAUUAGUUGAAAUUUAUUAUUAAUUAAUAAUUAUUAAUAAUAAUAAAACUUGGAUCGGAAGUCAAGAUUUGUGUUGUGUUAAAAUUGAGAGCCGCACACACACACGUCGGUUGCUGGCUUGCUGCCUUUUUAACAUAACAUGUGAUUGAGUGAAUUCUCAGGAACCUUGGGUCCACCUCCAUUAAGGAUUCUCACUCCCUAAUAAUUCAUGUUUAUUAGCUCUCAAUUAAUGAGUUAAUAACAUAAUAUAUGGUCGAACUUGAAAGUGAACAACUUGGGAUAUGCAAAAUAAUUACAAGCCCUACUCCAAUAUCUUAUGGCCACACGUUUUUCCACCAUAUAUAUAUGUCAAUUUUUUCUUCCUAGGCUUUGGCUUUUGAGCAAACGUACAACCAUUUCUCGUAACGCAGUACUUUUACAUGUAUUGACACAUCGUAUCAUUGUCCACUUACUAUUGUAAGAUAUUACUAAUUUUAACUUUAGCUAAAGUAUAAUUUUUCCUCCUUAACGAUUACGAUUUUUUAAAUAUUUUUAAUGUUUUUAAUUUUAUUUUUAAUAUUUUUUAUUUGUAUCAAAAUUAUUUUUGAAUAUUAACUCUAUCUAAAAUAUUAGGAACAAAAUUAAAAACUUAAGAACAAAAUGUUAAAGGAAAAAAUUGAAUGACUCGAAAAUGUUAGCUACAAAAUUGAAGGAGGGAAAUCUCAAAAGUUAGGGAGUAACAGAAAAUUGACAAGGAAAUUAUGUUAUGCUUCUUAAAAUACUUACAAUCUGCACCUCCAAGCUGCUGAAGGGCAUGAAGGAACCGUUUGUGUAGUUCCUGUGACCAGCACCGCCGCUGCUUCCUCUGACCCUGUCCUUUCUCCUCUCUUUUACCGCCGCUUCCAGCAUUGCCUCCGGUCGAUACAGGUCCUGUGGAACUUGUUGCUGGCACCGGCGGAGAAGAAGGCGUUUUGGCAGUUGGCAAUGAUGAUGAUGAUGCAUUAACCUUUCCAACAGUGCUCUCCUCUCUGUGAAAUGGCUGAAAAGCACCACCAAUGCUUCUCUUCACUUCCACAACAGACGCUUUUCUAGGCACAUCCUGAUCAACAAAAUUUCAAACAGAAUCAGAUUCCCACACUAUUUCAGUUAGAAAUUUUGAACUAAGUGCGUCUAACUACGUGAGGAUACAUCAAAUAAUUUUCUAAACAGAGCAAGUAACAUAACUCAUUACCAAAAACGACACCAAGAAACAGAAACUAAAACAGUUCAACUAAGUUGAACCCAAACUUUUUUUUUUCUUAUUUUCGUACCUCUUUAGGUGGUUGGGGAUCAGGGUUCCACAAUUGAACAGAUCUGAGCCAGUCAGAUUUUUUCUUAUCAGUGCUGCAGCUGCUGUUAUUAUUAUUGUUGUUGGUACUAUCCUCCUUUUGAAUCUUGUUUCUAUGAGAAUGUUGCUCUUCACCAUCAUCAUAAUAUUCUUCAUCAUCUUCUUCAUCGCAAUCAGGUGAAGCCCUUUUCUUGAUUGGAAUGAACUCCUCAAAAACAGGAUCGUCCGUUGAUGUCUGCUCCGAACACUCCGAUUGGCCGAGGGACAUUGAUGAUUGGAUUGAUUACUCAUAACAACGAAUCACCAAUAAUAAUGAAACUAAUCAAAUUAAACACUUGGUUUUUUUUCGUUUAUAAAAAUUUGAAGGAAAACUAAAAAGAGAACUUCCAGAUCUUGAUUCUGAGAUCAACCUUACACUGGGAGUCGAUGACGGAAGCAACAGCCGGCGACUUGCCGGCGGGGACGGUGCCCCUGAUCCCAUCGCAGGUGACUCUGAUGCCAACCUUCUUGCUCUUGAGCCACUCCAUUCUCAUCUUCACCUUGGUGUCCAUCUGAAUCACCACCGGGAACCCUUUCUUCUUCUUCAGCGCCGAUCUCAUCGUGCUCAGCG
rnacentral:lncRNA from 1 species